AAUGCUUCUUGGCAUUUUGGCUAAAAUCAUGUGUAGUAUCUGUUCUUAUGAGUUUAAUAUCUGAUACGUUCUCUAUCAGAGAAUUUCAUAUUAAACGCAUUUUUAGAACAGGGAGACGUUAGAGGGGUUCUGACAGGUUGACACACUUUCUAAUAAGGCAGUAAACUUAACACAAUCCAUAAUUACUGUUUACUGCAG